UCAGAAGGGAAAGGUGCACUGAUAAAUGUGGAAUGUGUUUUAAGAACACACUAGAUUUCUUCCUUGAACAGCAGUGUCUUUCUAGAUUUAACUAUUUCUUAUUUUGCUUUUAGAUGUUUCUAGAUUUUGUGAUCUCUCUUGUGAUUGUCCAGCCAGGGAGAGCACUGUGUGCAGCAGCUUUUCAGAAAUCCAUGGUCCUCAGAGUCAUGGGCUUGUAGCCCCUUUCUCUAUAACGGUUGCAGAAAAUUCAAAAACAACAGGCAGAAACCUGAUGAAAACAGUGGAAAUGAAGGAAAAGGAACGUAGGGCAUUGCUCGUCAGUGAAGUUCAAAAGAAAAAGCUGCUGAUAAACACACCUGAGGUUGAGAACACAGAGCGAUGGUGGUCUCCGGGAACUGGAACUGCUGGUUUUCCCGCAAGUUGAAGUAUGGAUACUUCAUCUGGAAAUGCUCUGGGGCUCAAGACGGGCCAGCUCUCACUAGCCUCAGUGUUUGUCAAGGUGCUGUUGAGUCUGUCCUUCUUAAAACCUUUUUGAGCCGAACAAUGAAUUCUUUGCACAGAGAGGUAACAUUCCUGACUCACAAAAACCACCUGUACUUCUUUGCUUUCACUGAGAAGCUAACUCAGCCUGGAGGGAAGGGACUGAAAUGCUGAGGUGGAAGGCUUGCUGAGGCCUGUGCCUGGUCGGGCGGCCACACCCGUAAGUCAAAAAACAAUGCCCAGAGUCCCAAGAAGGCUGCCAGCAGUCUUACUUUCUAGAGGCCACAGUUUCCUGCUCUUGUUCCCAAAAUGAGAGUCCUGAGGUACUUCAGGACCUCGUGUCUCUUUCUAGCUCAUUCCUGGCAUGCCUUUCUGGAGGCACAACGAAAUGGGCAGCAGCCCAAACCCACUUAGGAAUCCUGACAGAUCACAUCUACUGUCAGAAAAAACAAAACCGAGGAGCAAGCGGUUACAUUUUCCUGCUAGGUUGUGCUGUGUUUGGCUUUCCUUUUUGCCUGGACUGGUGUUAAAUACCUCCCCAAAGGCAAAGUCAGGGUACUAGGCAAGGCUUCUGGCUGAGCUCCACAGACUUGCCCUGGGCAGCUGACCGGAAGGCUCCAGAAGGAGCUCACGAGGUGUGGGUAAGGCAAACACGGGCCAGCAGAGGGGAGAGGGCUGCUUCCUGAGCGCUAUUCCAGGUCAUGGCAUAAUUAGACCAGAGGCCCUCGAAAGGGCCUGUUGUUCCCGUGUACUUCUUUAUUAUGGAAAACAGAAUCAGAAAAUUGUAGCGAGAGAAAACACAGUGCAGUGGUGAGGAGCCCAGACUCCAGAGUCGGCAGACCUGGGUUCCGUGGCUCGGCUGGGCGACCUGGGGUCGCUGCCUAGGAUGACCUGACCUUACUCUCCUCAUCUGUGAAGGAAGGGCAGUAUUGGCUCCUGCCUCACCUGGCAGCAGCAAGGGCACGAUGACAUAGAGCAGUGAUGACAAAUGGAAUAAUCGCAGUUUAAGCAGAAAAAACGGAGCCUGGUGGCCAUGGAUAAUCUGGUCUCAGACAUGUCUCUGCAGCACUGAGAACUUGAACUUUCUUUCAACUGUACCUGACCCAAGGACACUGCCAGCCACACUCCAAACAACACCUGCCAGCUUCAACCUUAAGGUCUCAAGGCCUCUCUCUCCACCCAUGCAACAACUCAGAUGCCAACCAAUCUGUCCUUACCAAACAUGCUUACUCCUUGCAGGCUCCAAUUACAAUUCUUGAGAAACAAUUCAUGUAAACUCACUGUAACCUUGCAGCUUUUUGCUUUCAUAAGCCCUUCCCAUUUCGUAGUUUGGUGGAAUACAAUUCAAAUACUUCUUUGAAUCUGUGACCCCCAGGCCGAAGUCCAAUACAUACCUUUUUAUUUCAGUCAGGUCUCUAUUUCUGGAAUUUUGGUUAAUGGCAGGUAACACCCACUUUAUUUUGACCUGGUGGUAAGUACCCUGGUGGUGGUUAGAUGUUAGUAUCACUAAGAGGGGGAAAAAAAUCACAAGGCUAGUACUCAUUUUUAAGGUAUGAAUCACAUUUCGUUAUACAGCUGUGGCAUAAAUGAACCACUCUUUCCACUGUUAAGUGUUUAAGACGUUCCCUUUUUUGUCUUUUCUCUUUUUUUUCACACUGUUUAUAUUAUAGUAAACACUUGUAAUAAAAUGUUAACCUUUGAUUGCUAAUGACCUAACAAAUCUCUUGUACACCCCAGACACUAUUCCUGAAUUCCAGACCUUUGGUAUCAACUGACUAUUGGAUACCAGUCUCUGGUUUUACUCAAAAUUAAUAUAUUCAAAAUUAUGAACUUAUGGUUACCAAAAGUCCAGGAGAUAGUUCAGGACAGAGAAGCAUGGCGUGCUGCAGUCCACAGGGUCACAAAGAGUCAGACAUGACUUAGUGACUAAACAACAACAAUGGUUACCAAAGACGAAAUGUGUGUGUGUGUGUGUGUGUGUGUAGGAUAAAUCAGGAACUCGGGGUGAACAUGCACAUGCUGCUAUCACUACUAUUUAUAAUACUGAUAACCAAUAAGGACUUACUAUGUAGCACAGGGAAUUCAGCUCAACAUUCUGGGAUAACCUAUAUGAGAGAAGAAUCUAAAAAAGAAUCUAAAAAAAGAAAGAAUCUAUAUAACUGAAUUCCUUCGCUGUAUACCUGAAAUUAACCACAUUGUAAACCGACUAUAUGCCAAUAAAAUUAAAAUUACAAAAAAUUUAAUGCAUUCAAAGUUACACUUAUUGUCUUAUCACUGCCCACUUGGUUCCAAGAUUUGAAUCUGCCCUUCCUCUCUUCCUCUUAGGGUCCUUGAAUCAUCCAAGGUAAAAACUUGGGUGCCAUCCUAGGCUCUUCUUUCUUUCGUAUUCUUGCAUCUAGUCAGGUAGUAAGUUCUCGGAAUUCUAUAUCUGCCUCCAUAUCUCACCAAUCCAUCUCCCUGACAGAACUUUGUUCUCUAUCUCACCUGGACAACUGCAGAAUCCCUAAUAUCCUUUAUCUUGAGAUUCAGGUUUCCAUCAUCCAUCCAUCUAUGUAAAUCCACCCUUGAGUUUUCUUCCCACUAUGCUAGCAUGGUUUCUUUGUUGCCCCUGGAACAUAUCAGUUUAUUGUGGGAAGGGCAGAGUCUAAGAAUCAAAAUAUCUGGGUCUAAUCCUGGUUUCAUGAGUUGUGUCAGCCCAGAAGCUCCUUCAGACCUCCAUUUCGUCAUCCAAAAGUGAGCUCUCUAUGUGUCCUGCCCCUUCACUGAGCAGUCAGCACUGCUUAAGAUAACCAGGCAUGAAAGUACUUUGCAAGCUCCAAAAUGUUAUACAAAUGUACGGAAUUGGUAUACCUGCCUCUACCUGUCAACUCAUGUUGUCUGGUAUUCUUCCUUUCUCUCAUCUUUGCUCCAGGCAUGCCCCACUCACCCCUCUGAGUGUCAAACUUCCUAACAACUAUUUCAACUUUCCACACCCUGGCUUUUGGUCAUCUUUUUGCCCUAAAGGCUCUUCCCCACCCUAUCUGCCUGACUCACAUCAACUCAUCUUUCAAGGUCAUGCCAAGCCAUAUCAAGCCUUUUUUGAUAAUCUUUUAGUAAAGCAAUCACAUGUAUAAUUCAUUAUUCUGCGUAACAUUUGGUUAUGGUUAAAUUCUCAGGCUCCCGGAAAUCACGAUGCAUAUCUCCCUGACGGACCUGCCAGGGGAAACACUACGUCUAGUAAGUGGUUUGUCUCAGCUGUUGCUACUUUGGUUAAAUUAGAAGCUCAUAAGUCAUUAACACUCAAGGUUGAACAAUUAUCUUUCAGCUCCUGGCUUUUGAAAUCUCUCCAAGGAAAGCGAAAUCAAGCAAGUGGCAACACACCCAUUGUGAUUUUUGUCUUAAAAAACCAUUAAAUUGGAGAAUCCGGAGGAAUGUCCUGGCUGCACUGUUUUAGAUAGCUGUCUGGACAUGGAAGAUAAAAUAAACUUGACAGGUGACAGCAAAAGGCUUUUAUUUCACUGAAUUCUACAAAUAAGGAUAGGUAGCACUCCAAAGACUCUAGUCCCUUAAAGUGUCCCAGCACUAUGAGCCCAUGUGGUUCCUAAGUAGGCAAAAGGCUAUAGCAAAUUGUAUCUCAUUCAUCAGUGCAUCCCUCAAUCUUUCAAUAUCUCAUAUAUAAUCAAAGCUCAACAGUUAAGUUUUUUCUUAUUUUUUUCUCCUGUUGUGGAACUGAACUGUUGGUCUAAAUACCACCAACUUUGAGUUUUAAUGUUAGCAUUUGUUUGCUGGUAGUUGGUUCAUUUUGUUGACUGCUAGCAAAUCACAUCAUGUUAGCCAACAAGCAGUAGCAGAUGUCAAAGUUUAUAAAAAAAAAUUGUGUGAGGAAAAAGAAAAAUUGAGAAAAAGCCCAUCCAUGAAAUUUCCUUCUUUCUUGCAAACUGGAAAAAAUAAUUGCAAAAUUUAAUUUUAGAUACUGAAUCCCUUGAUGGAAGAAUAGCUUGAGACUCAUGCCUCAAAACCAACAACAGCAAGAGCCUGAGGAGCAACUUAAGAUCUUUCCAGCAUAUUCUAAAUAGUACUUCCUGAUGUGCACAUAAAUUACCGGGGGAAACUUGCUAAAAUGCAGGUCUGGUUCAGAAGGUCUAGGGUAGGGCCUGAGGUUCUAACAAACUCCCAGGUGAUGCUGAAGAUUCUAUAAACAUCUGAUACUUGGGAAAUAGUUUGAGGCAGGGAGUAUGAAAUUAAGAAACUGUAGAGGGAAGUAGUGGUGAGAUGGAAUUCCAUCCUGGCUGUGGAAGCCACUGUGAAAUGACCACAUAUGGGGUCUAAAUGGAUCUUCCCUCAGGCAGCUUUGUGGGAGAUGGCUUUAGUGAGAGAUUGUUCUAGAAAGAGGUAAGAAGCUAAACUAGGGCAACAGCAGGUAAAAAGGAGAAGACAGGGUGGACAUACUAUUUAGGAAGAAAAGCAUCCAAAUGGAAUUCUCCAGCUCAGCAACUUGGGUACAAAAGACAAAUGGAGGGAAAGUAUUCGGCCUCUUUUCCCUCAAAUCUCAUCAGAUCCACUUCUGCUCUGAAGGAGCCUGUUAGGGCUUCAUCAGCAGUCUGCAGAAGUUAGAGGUCAGCUCAGAAGUCCGUUGUUGCCCCUGCUUUGGGAUUUUUCCUGUUCUCUCUCUCGGGUCAGGCAGCCACAAUUCCUUCUCCAGUGCUAGAAGACAUCAGCCUGAGCCUCCACCAAUGAAGACCCCACACACUGGGCCCCCAACUCCAGCUCCAUGAUAAAUAUAGCCUGGAAAACUGAAGGAGGCCACAAUCUCCUCAAAGGCCAGAAAAUAAAACAGAAAAAUCACACAUGUCAGGGAAAGACAUUUUGAAAGUCCACCAAGACCCAAUGUUGCUUCUAUAGAAUUUCCGAAAAUGCAAGUCCGAAUUUAAUCAUGAGAUCACAACUAGGAAAACCCAAGAAAGAAGGACAUCCCUUAAAAUGGCCUGUGUUUUUUCAAGAUGCCAGUGUCAUGAAAGACAAAGAAAAGUAGAGAAAUUGCUCCAGAUUAAAGAAGUCCAAAGAAAAUAACAACUAAAUGUAAUGGGUGUGCUUGGGUGAAAACACAAAUCAUGAAGGUUUUCUAUGGUUGUUCACUAUAAAACACAUGACCAGGACAAUUGGCAGAACUGAUGCUUCUGAGCUAUGGUGUUGGGAGUCCCUUGGACCGCAAGGAGAUCAAACCAGUCAAUCUUAAAGGAAAUCAACCCUGAAUAUUCAUUAGAAGGACUGAUGCUGAAGCUGAAGCUCCAAUACUUUGGUUACCUGAUGCAAAGAGCCAACUCAUUAGAAAACACCCUGAUGUUUGGAAAGACUGAAGGCAGGAAAGGAAGGGGAUGACAGAGGGCGAGAUGGUUGGAUGGCAUCACUGACUCAAUGGACAUGAGUUUGAACAAGCUCUGGGAGAUGGUGAAGGACAGGGAAGCCUGGCGUGCUACAGUCCACGGGGUUGCAAAGAGUCAGACACAACUGAGCAACUGAACGACGACAAAAAUAUGACUCAAUAUCAGAUAAUAGUAUUGCAUCAGUGCUAAAUUUCCAGAAUUUACUGCAGAGUGACCAUGUAAGAGAAAGUUCCUGUUCUUAGGACAUGCACACUGAAGUCCUUAAAGGUGAGUGAUGUUUGCAACUUAAUCUCAGAGAAUUCUGGAAAAAAUAAUAAUAAUAAUGUGUUAAUAUUUAGGGAGAGAGACAAAGUAGAUAUAGAAAAGCGUUAACCAUGGGUGAAUAUCUAGAAUCGUUGUGCUAUUCUUGCAACUUCUCUGCAGAUCUGACAUUUUUUUAUAUAAAAAGUUUAAAAGAAAGUCAUAACCAAUCAAUCAUUUUGCUAGUUUGGAGAAAGCUGCUAAAAUGCCAGAAGCAACUGCCAACAGAAAACUGAGUACAACCCCCACUCUCAAGAGUUACUGCACUUGCCAAAGAGAACACCGGCCUGCCUGUCCGCAUGCCCUGGAUGGGGCUGGCCAGUCCCCUGGAUCUCUUAGAAAACGCUACCUCAACUCUGCAGCAUCAUGAAACCCUGGGGCUGGCUCCCUCCCCUAAAAUCUCAAAAGGCAGCACCCCACAGGAAGCAGCUUGUUAGAAAAAAAGCUGUCUUACAAGAGGCCUUACUGGGCCCCAUGACUGAGGCGCACCCUUCUGGGGAGUCGCUUCCAUCUCCUGCACAUUUCUUACUUAGAGCUCUGCAGGGCAAGAAGGUAGCAACUCUGAUUUUUUGCUCAAAUGGAGCUUCCUCCAGCUCCAAGUGGAAAGUGGACCUUGCUGACCACUACUUCUCUCUGUUGAAGAUAACGUACCCCAUCCUGCACAUGGGCCAACCAAGGACAGCCGAGGGGGGCCGGUUAGAAGGGUUUCCGCCAAGACCAUUUUAAGGUCAAGCAACUGCCAAAUUUUCAAACAAGACAGCGGUUUGUUUUUAUGCUUAUCUGGAUACUACAGGAGAACCACCUGAGAAAGGGCUGCUAAAUAAGAAUUCUUCUGUAUCUUUCCUCUUUUUUUUUCCCCCGGUUCUUUCUCUUUUUAUUAUUAUUUGUUUAAUGAAAAGGAAAAAAAACAAACCCCGAAACAAAACCUCUCCUGGCUCAGAACCUAAAAUCUCUUACUUGUGAUGCUAAUCUCUCCUCCCUGGCUCCAAGCCACUGCUGCUGGCUCGGUGCCUGUUUAAUAUCGUGGUUGCUGAUAGCAGGUUGUGUCAGCAUUUCCAUUAUGAAGCUCAGCUUCAAAUAUUUCUGAAAUGGACGUAUAGUCUUCCAGGCAAAGGGUCCUUAUUCCACACCUGGUCUUCCAAGUGUGGGCCAGGCACCUCCAGCCUGCAUUUACAUACCUUUUCUCUUCAUGGCCACUUGGCAAAAUAUAAGGGUGCUUUGUUGAGCAUUUUAGAAAAGAUGGUUUUCAAUGCAAUGCUUCAUUCUUUAAACGUCUCUUUGAAGGCAUUUAAAUUUGAGUAUAAAAGGGUCACUUGUCUUAGCAAUUAGAAAAGGAGAGCGAGAAAUACCAAGUUGGGUGUUUGAGGAAAGAGUGUUUUUCUCCAAGGCUUGAUAAAGAACACAUUUUUCUCUCUUUACUCUCUUCUCUCAGUUCUCUCAACCCCAUUUUUCAUGACUUACGUUAAGACCUGUUUACAUAUUGAAGACUUUUUUAACCAACUACUGAAUAAUUCCCUCAUUUAUCCCCCAUCGUCCAUUGUUCCAUUAAUUCAGAGGAGCCAGGUUAGGGCAGAAAGCUUCCAUCUGAUGCUUUCCCACUGAGGUCCACUCUGGCCAUAGGAUCUGCUUCUUGGCAGCUGAGGUGGAGUGUAGAAAGAGCACACAAUCAAAAGCCUGGGGGGGGCGGACCUCAGUUUUGUCGGUUAUUAAUUGUGUGGCCUUGAGCAAUUUAUUUAAACUUCUCUCGGCAGCAGUGCCCUCAUCUGCAAACUGAUUAUAACCAUACCUACCCUUGAGAUGUUGUGAAUG